AGUAACGGCGAGUGAAGCGGGAUGAGCUCAAAUUUAAAAUCUGGCUGGUUUACUAGUCCGAAUUGUAGUUUAUAGAAGCGUUUUCGGUGGCAGCCUGGGUAUAAAUCCUUUGGAAUAGGGUAUCAUAGAGGGUGAGAAUCCCGUCUUUGACUCAGUGCAUGCUACUAUGUGAUACGUUUUCAAAGAGUCGAGUUGUUUGGGAAUGCAGCUCAAAAUGGGUGGUAAAUUUCAUCUAAGGCUAAAUAUUGGCGAGAGACCGAUAGCGAACAAGUACCGUGAGGGAAAGAUGAAAAGAACUUUGAAAAGAGAGUUAAACAGUGCGUGAAAUUGUUGAAAGGGAAACGCUUGACACCAGUUAUGCGGGUGGAAAAUCAGUCUUUUGCAAUGGGGAGUUGUGGGCGUUCAGACCGCAAGGCUGGCGUUUGCUUCAUCUUUGUUGUAAGUGAUGCACUUUUUCAUUUGCAGGUCAACAUCAGUUUGCUUUGCUGGACAAAACCCCAAGGGAAGGUGACAGCUUAGGCUGUGUUAUAGCCCUGGGGCGAUACAGUGGAGUGGACUGAGGUUUCGCAGUGUGUGCUCUCGGGCAAGGCUGACUGGGUGCUAUGGGAUCGUUCGGCGUACAAUGCAUGCAUUUUGCGUCGUGUCUUUUUCAUACUCGCUCAACUCGGCUCUUCCACGCUUAGGA
rnacentral:rRNA from 2 species